UACGUAGACCUCAAGCGUUAUUCGGAUUUCUUGGGCGUAAAGAGCAUGUAGGUGGUUUUGUGCGUCUUCUGUUAAAGCCCGGGGCCUAACCCCGGAAGUGCAGGAGAUACGACGAGACUAGAGGAGGUUAGAGGUGCAUGGAACUCACGGUGUAGGGGUGAAAUCCGUUGAUAUCGUGGGGAACACCAAAGGCGAAGGCAGUGCACUGGGACCUUCCUGACACUGAGAUGCGAAAGCGUGGGGAGCAAAAAGG
rnacentral:rRNA from 1 species